rnacentral:rRNA from 1 species
AACGAACGCUGGCGGCAGGCCUAACACAUGCAAGUCGAGCGCCCGGAUUUAUCCGGGAGCGGCGCACGGGUGAGUAACGCGUGGGAACAUGCCCUGAAGUACGGAACAACCUGGGGAAACCUUGGCUAAUACCGUAUACGCCCUGAGGGGGAAAGAUUUAUCGCUUUGGGAUUGGCCCGCGUUGGAUUAGCUGGUUGGUGUGGUAACGGCGCACCAAGGCGACGAUCCAUAACUGGUCUGAGAGGAUGGGCAGUCACACGGGGACUGAGACACGGCCCAGACUCCUACGGGAGGCAGCAGUGGGGAAUAUUGGACAAUGGGCGAAAGCCUGAUCCAGCCAUGCCGCGUGAGUGAAGAAGGCCUUCGGGUUGUAAAGCUCUUCAGCGGGGACGAUGAUGACGGUACCCGCAGAAGAAGCCCCGGCUAACUUCGUGCCAGCCGCCGCCGUAA